CCAGACUCCUACGGGAGGCAGCAGUGGGGAAUAUUGGACAAUGGGGGCAACCCUGAUCCAGCCAUGCCGCGUGAAGGAAGAAGGUUUUCGGAUCGUAAACUUCUGUUGGGAGGGAAGAAAGACCGUUUUAUAGACGGUGAUGACGGUACCUCCUUAGCAAGCACCGGCUAACUCCGUGCCAGCAGCCGCGGUAAUACGGAGGGUGCGAACGUUGCUCGGAAUCACUGGGCUUAAAGGGCUCGUAGGCGGUUAUGUAAGUUAGGUGUGAAAUCCCCGGGCUUAACCCGGGACGUGCACUUAAAACUGUGUAACUGGAGUACAGGAGAGGAUAGCGGAAUUCCCGGUGUAGAGGUGAAAUUCGUAGAUAUCGGGAAGAACACCAGAGGCGAAGGCGGCUAUCUGGACUGUAACUGACGCUGAUGAGCGAAAGCGUGGGUAGCGAACAGGAUUAGAUACCCUGGUAGUCCACGCUGUAAACGAUGAGUGCUAGACGUCGGGUGUAUUAACACAUUCGGUGUCGCAGUUAACGCGCUAAGCACUCCGCCUGGGGAGUACGGCCGCAAGGCUAAAACUCAAAGGAAUUGACGGGGGUUUGCACAAGCGGUGGAGCAUGUGGUUUAAUUCGAUGCAACGCGAAGAACCUUACCUGGGUUGGAACCCCCUGGAAUUCAUCAGAGAAGGUGAAGUGCCUUAUUUUAAGGAGCCGGGUGUUCAGGUGCUGCAUGGCUGUCGUCAGCUCGUGUCGUGAGAUGUUGGGUUAAGUCCCGCAACGAGCGCAACCCUUGUUGCUAGUUACUAACAGGUAAAGCUGAGGACUCUAGCGAGACUGCCGGUGGUAAACCGGAGGAAGGUGGGGAUGACGUCAAGUCAUCAUGGCAUUUAUGUCCAGGGCUACACACGUGCUACAAUGGCUGAUACAGAGGGCAGCGAUCCCGUGAGGGUUAGCAAAUCCUUUAAAGUCAGCCCUAGUUCGGAUUGCAGUCUGCAACUCGACUGCAUGAAGCUGGAAUCGCUAGUAAUCGCGGAUCAGCAUGCCGCGGUGAAUACGUUCCCGGGCUUGUACACACCGC
rnacentral:rRNA from 1 species